GAUCCUGGCUCAGAUUGAACGCUGGCGGCAGGCCCAACACAUGCAAGUCGAACGGUAACAGGAAACGGCUUGCUGUUUCGCUGACGAGUGGCGGACGGGUGAGUAAUGUCUGGGAAACUGCCUGAUGGCGGGGGAUAACUACUGGAAACGGUAGCUAAUACCGCAUAAUGUCGCAAGACCAAAGAGGGGGGACCUUCGGGCCUCUUGCCAUCGGAUGUGCCCAGAUGGGAUUAGCUAGUAGGUGGGGG
rnacentral:rRNA from 1 species